GUCACCCAAUGGGGCAUUCUGUGUGUGGGUCACCCAAUGGCCAGCUCAGGAAAACUGUCACUCUUGUCUUGUCAUUCCUGGCCAAGCUGUGAUUGUGACCAAUGUUGACACAGGUAUCUCCUUGUCAUGUCCCUGUUAAUAGGGGAAAGAUCUAGGCUGAUUGCUGCCAUGUUAUUCUGUGACUGUUAUACUGCCUUGAUGGUGAGCACAGCCUUGAUGGUGAGCACAGCCGUUGUUGUCCAAGAUGUCGACCCAUGAGAAGACCGUGUGUCUGUAUGUUGACACCAUCAAUUGGCUACCUUCAGAGCAGUUUACUCUCUUAUCAAUGAGCAAUAUCAAACUAUACACCAUUAAUGGAUAACUAUCGCAGUGUUUUAACAUCAAUCCUUAUCUUAGCCUUUAAGCAUUAUUAACAUGAUUAAUGAGGAAAAUACAAAAUUAAGGGCUUGGCAUUGACAGCAUGUGUUCACAUAUAAUUUGUAGUCCCUCUUAGCUCGGUUAUUCUCUGUUAAAGAUGCAAGUAGGAGUUGAACAGGGGAGACAAUAAUGACAAUUAUGAUCAAAAGAGAACAGACAUAAUCAGUUUGUGGAUGAGAUUGAUAUUUUCACUUUUUUGACACUCAUUUUGAUGUCAGAAUAUCUUGUGAUAUGUUAUCAGGAAAAAAGGUUCUUUUCUCCCCUCGAUGUGCAAUACGUACAGUUGUUUUAAGGGCACUUCUAAGAAGUUGAUGGAUGUCGAAGAAGACACAAUUCAUGGAUACCAACUUCUUCAAUAUCAUCUUCUAGUGUACUUUUGUAACAAUGUUUUGAUACAGAUGCCACGGUGACAAUUUAUUGAAGAAUUUGUUGUCAGUUUUGACAGUAUUGUCAGCUAAUCCCAUAUUUGUAGGCUGGGUAAGUAUGGAGGGGUGGGGUGGGGUGGGGACAAUAUAGGACAAUCAGUUUUCUACUUUGCUUGUGAGCUGUUGGUGUGAGCUGAUGUCCAUGUGUCAAGCAGUUGGCCACCAUGGGGCAUACGUUCCCACUAAUCAGAACAUGAAAGUUUUUUGUAAAUGUUCCUGUGUCGUCAUUUUGUAUGAAAUUACAAUUGAAAUUGAUAUUUUAAAUACCUCAGGUUAAUCAUGAUCAUAAAAGGUUGAGUGCAGAUAGUUAAUUGAUCAGUACAAUUUCAAAAUUCUUGUUUGCCAUAAAUGUCUUUUUCUCAGUAACUGACCGACCAUAAUGUGCUGAAAUUUGAUAUGAAUGUUGUCUCCAUAUAUUUAUUUUAGCAUUGUUAAACAGUUUGUACAAAGUUGUAUUUGUUGUUUCUUAAAAUGCCCAAAGGAUACAGUCAGCUAAUUCAUAAAACUAAUAUUCUGUUUAAUUGUUCUUAGGGUAACCUUUUGAAAAUCUCACAGAACACCUGAUAUCUGGUAAUAACAGCCUUUAUGACGAUUUUAUAUGACUAGUCUCUGUAACCAACAGCAAGCAGAACAUUAGGCAGGCAUGAUCUUAGUAAUCUGUAAUGCAGUGGCCCCUUUGUCAACUUCAGUUUCUUUCAAACAGGCACAGGGGCGGUGGGGUAGCCUAGUGGUUUAAGCGUUCGCUCGUCAGGCCGAAGACCCCGGUUCGAUUCCCCACAUGGGUACAAUGUGUGAAGCUCAUUUCUGGUAUUCCCCGCUGUGAUGUUGCUAAAAGUGGCGUUAAACUGAACUCAAUCAGUCAAACAGGCACAGAUAAACAAGCAGAGGUUCCCGUUCCUGACUAUAGCUACCUCAAAACCAUAUUUGGCAGCCACUCCGUGGCCCUGACCUUUUUACAUCGAUAUUAACCACAAUGGCUUGAAAAACUCUUGGCCCAUAAUUGAGUUUCUGUGAACUGUUGUUGAGAUAUGUCAGUGUUGUCACCUUCCUGCCACGACUGACUGAUGAAAUAGGUGCUGGGUAGCUAGCUUAUUUUGAUGACAUAAUCUGGGUUUUGUACAAGGCUUGUAUUUUUGUAAUGAAGCAAAGAACUAAGUUAAUAUUGACAUUGCAGGUUCUUCCCCGUUGUCAGCCUUGUCCAUUGUGUGUGAUGCACAAAGUUAUACCUCUCUGGGAUCAUUGUCCUUGGUGUGUGACGUACAAGGUUACAUCCCUUUGUGAUGGUUCUUCAGUGUUGGACUGACAGGGUUAUACUCCUUUGUGAUCAUCGUCCUUGUGUUGGGAUGCUAGGUGUAGCAAAUGCUACUUUGGUCAAAUGUAAAUGUGCAAGAUAUUGUUAUAUUUUUUCAAGCAUGGGAAUUCCAAGAUUAUUAUUAGUGAGAUGUGCCAUGUGAUAAUGUGGGCAAACAAUAUAUGCUAUCAUAUAGUUUUGUAUCUAGUUUGCCUGCUUGUGGAAGUAUGGAGAUUAACAGAGCAUGUUCGUUAUUUGUAACAAAUACUUUAUAAGUGUCCCAAAAUCAAAGCUGUUAAGUACCUUAGAUGUUGAUUGUCUUAUGUCUUCUCACAAAUUCUUGUAUAAAGUGCUAUUUCUGUGUUGUGUAAUGACUAAAUAUUGCUUACAUCUUCCAAAUAUAUCUUUGCUAAGCACUAUGUUAUUUCAAUCACUACUUAAUAUGAAUCAUUGUGAAUCAAAUCUGAUGAAGAAGCAUACUUGUAAAACUAUAAUUUGUAUAUUUGAAGUAGCAGUAGUAUAACUAACCUAAUAAAAUCAACCAGGAGAUUGUGUAGAUCAAUGCUCAUGUUGAUUACUGGAUCGUCUGGUCCAGACUUGAUUAUUUACAGACUGCUGCCGUAUUGCUGAGAGUGGCGUAAAACUAAACUCACUCACUCUCAUAAAAUCAUUGUUCAAAGCAAAUUUCUUGAAGGAAAGUCAUUCUGGCAAGAUGUUGAACCUCUGUGUGAGAGCAUGCUCCAGCCCAUUAUGUCCAGCUCUCUAUGAUGGCAAACCCUGGACAGUUGUUAUUGGUUAUAAAUUAUGUUGAUGGUGACAUAUAUUUGUUAAGCUUGUGUCCUGAGAUGAUAUCUGCAAUAGACAAAAGUGUCCUCCAACUGAAUCUCAAACCUGAGGUAAAGAACCUUGCUUGUUUGGCGAUUACAGGUCCCUCCCAACUAAACCUUAUUGUGAAAAUGAUGAAUGGUUGUGCUACAAAUAUCUUGUAAGGUUAUGACUCGCUGUUGCCUGCAAAGUCUGUGUGUAAGUGUUUAGAAACUGACCUGUGUAAGUGGGUCCUCCUUCUUGUCUGCUACUGUCACGGGACCAGCCACUUGUAUGGGUACAGUUGUUUUAGUUGUUACUUUGUCACACAUACAGUUUGUUAAACCACACUAUUUAUGUAUAACUUAUUUCACCUUAUCCUUAUUUCAAGUUUAUUUGUAUAUAAAUUGUAUUAUUUGUUUUCUGCAAUAGUGGUCACACACAAAUCUUUGAACAUAAGCUGAUGAAUAAAUGAGUAUCGUAUAA